UCAAACGGGGCCCUGUGAGCACAAGGUCCUUGCGUCAGCUUCCUGGGCUUUGUGAGCCCUUCAGAUCGUAGGCAGACAUCUGAGUGUCUGUGCUCUGGACAUUUUUCUGGAGAGAAGCUCAGAGCUUUAAUCGAUUUACAAAGAGCUGCAGGACAUGAAAGGUUAAGAGUCGUUGGCUAAAAGCAUCAGGAAUCCGGACUCCAGAGAAAUCAGAUCUUCGCAACCAGUUGCUAAGCGUCUUUGCAGCAUUUACAGACAGAGAGGGGUUGGGCUCCUGUUCCCUGGGUUUAUGCGUGUAUUUCUUUUUCAAUGUGAAAGAACUUCAAAGCUGCAGGAUCUAAGUUCCUCCAGGGUGCCUGCGUCACUGUUUGAAGCACCAGAGACAUAAAAGGACCUGAUGAUGCAGGUGGCGGUGGUGGUGUUUCCUUUGACAGUCAAAGAAACAAAGGCCCGGAGACAAAGCUCACCAAAUCCACAGAGCCAGCAGCCCAAAUGCAGAUCCCACCCAAGCAGAGCGAGGUCCGAGCCAGGUAGGGCACCAAGGUCUGGGGAGGAGGACACAGGAUCCCAGAGCUGCCCCCAGGAGACCAGCGUUGGGGGCCCAGCCCUGACCUCUACGGGCUCAUCCUGGACACAGUGCACGUCACAAGGCUCAGAGCUAUUUCCUCAGAUUUGCUCCGAAUUUUCAGAAGCGGAGGAAUUUGGGGGCAGUGAAGGCUGUGUGUGCUCGUGUGAGAAGACUGGGCCUAGAGGGCACCCCUGGGGUGCAGAGACAGUGCCCAUGGGAGUCUGUGGGUGCACAGCGGCCACCCAGCUCUGGUGCAUGCAUAGGAACAAGUGUGCACAGGCCAGAGAGGUCCCUGACUGUCCACCCCCGUGUACCCCCACCCCCUUCCGCUCCACCGCAGGAAGUCUGAUGGGGUUGGGGUAUAACUCUGCAUUUUCACCUUGACCUCUGCCCCCUCCCAGGCCGCGGCCCCUCACACCCACCAGUGGGCACAUUCACAUGAAUAUGUGGCCACAGGCACAGUCCUGGGCCCCUGUCUUGGGAGUGGCCCUGGUCCUCGCAUCUUCUCUCUUCUCUGCCCAGACAGCCUCACCCCAAACACUGAUGUCUUCUCAGGAAGGCCUUCCUCUGCCUUUCCUCUGUCCUGUCAAUAGGGAGAAAAAGCUGGGCUUCUCCAGAGACGCACGCAGCCCAGCCCACCCACCACCGUAGAGCCCCCUCCCCAACCUAACAGUGGUCCAGAUGUCCUGGGUCAGCUUGUGCCCAGUCUUGUGGGCCUGGCCGAGCCGGCCAAGAGAGGGAGAGGAGGGGUAGGGGGCUCCUGAUUGCUCUGCCUUGGGAAACCCCUCUCCCCACCCUGCACAGAGGCUAGGGUCGCUUCUGGUGAAGCCCUUCCAGCAGGCGGCCUGGGUUCAAAUCCUGCCUUAAUUUUGGCUCAGCAGCCUGGCCUCCAGGAGGAGAUGUUUUGGAUUAUCUUCCUCUCUUCUCACCCCACACAGAAGGGAAAAUCUUCGCCUUUCUUGAAAGAUCUGAAUCCCUUCCAAGCGGGUGCCUUCUAUGCAUCUAUAAAAUGGGGAUGUUAAUAGGGCCGCCCCACAGGGAGGUUCUGAAAAUUAAUUCUGGGGAAGGGUGAAGCACACACUUAUUAGUCAUUAUUACCAUCCUGAUCUGUUGGCGAAGAUGGUUCUCAAUCGAUUGUGCCCCAGGGGACGUCUUGCAGCGUCCAGACACAUUUUGGUUGGUGAAACCUGCAGGGGAGGGGGAGACUGGCCUCUAGCUGAUUGAGGUAAGAGUGUUGCUAACACUGUACAGAGCACAGGAUGCCCCUGAGCAGCGAGCAUACAAUUUGAGAGGCAAAUUCUACAGAGGCUGGGAACCCCGGGGCCAGGAGCUCACCUUCCUCUUGAAGACAAUGAGGUGAUGAUGAGCUGAAGCAGAGGAUGACAUAAGGGAAUCUAAGUUCUAGAGAGAAAAUUCCAGGAAAGUUGCAUCAUGAUCACAGAGCUCAGUUAGGGGCCUGCGGACCUGCAGAUCAGCAAGGUGCUGUAAGGGUAGCCUGGGGUGGUGGGGAGGCCGGGGCUGGGAGGGAGGGCCUGGUGGAGUCAGGGGGUGCUGAAGCUUCUAGUUUGUAGGACUGGGCAGGGAAAGACUAUUUAGCCUCCAGGAGUCCUAGUUGGGGCGAAAGUCCCUCCAGCAACCUGGACGUCAGCUGUGUCCCUUCCACACCAGUGUCCUGACUCCUCCCCCAGGAUAGAGACCCCUUCCCCUCGACACCCCGGUGUCCGAGAAGUGGGCAUCUGAUUUCUUCCCCUUCUCGCUAUAGCCCCUUGAAUGGAUGGAGACAGAGCCCCUCCGCAGACAGAAGAGGAGGACAGCUCUGGGCCCGGAGGCCACUGCCCUCUGCAGUUUCUCAGGGACCGGAGCCCAUGCCUGCUAGAGACAGAGGGCGGACACAGAGCCUGGGUGGGCUUGAUCAGCACGCAGACUGAGCCUCCUUUAGCCCAUUUCCCUGCCCCUUUGCACAGGCUCUGAAGACAAGUUACAGGACAUGAGAAGAAACCCCAGAUGGCCUCCCCAUCAGCAGGUGAACAGGUGAAGUCCUGACCAGAUGCCAGAGCAGUUCAAGAUGUCACUUCAUCCGGAGGGCAGAGGACAAGCAGGAGACCAACAGAGGCCCAGUUGGUCCAAGGAGCACUGGUACAGGGAGGAGGAGGCCAGCAUCGCUGGAACAUGCUGUCUCUGUCUUGGACAAACGGGAUCAGACGUGUGAGGUCGUGGUGGUGGUGCCUGAAAACCAGAACUGACUCCGUGGGAAGCCUCAGAACCAGAUGUUCCAGCACCGUUAUCCCAGGGGCCUCGCCCACACCCCCAGGGCAGUGGAGAUUCUCUGAGGUCCAGAAGGAGGGCAGGGACAGCUGCAUCCCAGGAAGGAAGACUUGCUGGAGGAGACAGACCGCACAACGGCUUUCAGCCAGGGAUGCCCGCAUGAGCACUGAGGGCCAGGGUCCCGGCUCCUGCCUGCUUCCCCCAAACCCUAUCUAGCCUGUUGGAUUAUGUCCCUGAGCCGCAGAGAAGGCAGGAGGGCCUGGGGACUCUGCAUGAUGGUGGAACAGAUCCUGGCCCUGCUGUUUGGUGGGCACUUCUGUCCUUCCUCCUCCUUCUCCACCUCUCCUAUCCCUGCCUCCCCUCCCGGGUCUCCCCAGCUUUUGCUCAACAGGACCCAGAAAGUUCUGUCGUGUGUCUCUCACCACUAGGCACCCAGGCAGAAGAGAGGAUGGUGUCUUCUCCUCUGGGGCGUGUCCCUCUCCACCUGGGUCUGCCGGCCUGGCUCAGAGCAGCAUAGGAACUCUUGUCCUUCUCACAGCCUGCCUUUCUGAUCCCCACCUGGCUCUUUCUCAGCGGGUCCUGCUCAUCUCAGGGCCCCUCGAGGUCCUUCCUUCUGGCUUUGCCGCCUGAGCUCAAAGCGGGCUCUGGCCCCCAUGAAAUUUCCUCGCAUGGAGAAAGGGGCCCAAGAUAGCAAGGAGGCUCCUGCAAACCCCCAACCAGCUCUCCCCCAUCAUACUCCCUGCCUCCCCCAGCUUUCCUCCCCAGCUCUCCCCACCCCCAAGUCUCUUGUCCACAGCAAAUCCGGCCCCCGCACAGGCCACAGGGCAAGAGUAGCCACUCUCACAGUUGGAACAGUCAUCCUCAGCUACCCAUCCCCUGUCCCCUGUCCCUUCCUCUCCUGGGGAGUCGCCUCCAAAAAACACCCCUCCUCACUUGCCCACCUUUUCCAGAGCAUCCAACCCCCGCACCUGAGGCACAAGAAAGACCACUUUCCUUCAGUAAGGAGCAAAGGACAGCAACCCUGGGCCCUCCCGGGGUCCCCAGCUGCCCCCACAGAAGCCAGGGCAAGGCACUUGACUCCCCCAGCACCCCCAGGGUCCCCGAGCACUGCUUUCUCCCAGGGCACGCGUCCCGCCCCGGGCCAAGCCACCAGCACCCAACCCUCCCCACUCUGUUUACACAAUCGCUUCAGGCCUUAUCUGGGCCCCUUAUCACUGUGUUGUGAUAACCAAAUAGACUCUGGUGUCAGAGACAGGAAACUCAAAUCUGUAUCCCUCAGCCUGGAGACUGAGGCGAUAAGACAGCAGCCAGGGACCUGGGAGCCGGCUGCGACCUCACCUGGGGCCUGGGCAGACACAGGGUCAGAGGGCACGGGCGGGAGGCCCUUCCUCCCCCCAGCCCCGCCUGAUGCAGGACUAACAGGAAGGAAAGGAAGGCCUCCCCAUGGGGCCUGUGAAGAGACCUAGAGCCCUUUCCAGUGGGAACAGAUGUCCCAGUGCUAUUUCCUCAGGGCGCCACUGCCUGGCCAGCAGGUAGGAGGGACUGGAGCCACUGGGGGGAAGGUGGGCAGCAUCCAUUCCGGCCCAUCGGACCCCGUUGUCUGUAGAACAGAGGCCCCGUUACAUAAGUGCCAGCUGACUUGGUAGAAGCUAUGACUAAGAAAACUUUCCAAAGACAGUUGGUGGCCCUCCACCCCCUCCAAGGGGUGAGAACUCCCCCCACAGAGAGGGGGCAGAGAUUAGGGCUCCUCACUAGCUCCCUGGCCCUGACUCAUCACACACACAAACACUCCCCAACACUCUUUCCCAAAACGGUUCCCACCCACCCGUCCACCCUCCCACCGGGGCUGGUGACAAAACGAACGCCCCAGAGAUCUUGCCAAGUUCUGGGCCAGGCUGAGCCCAGGGAACACGAAAUUCCCCGUGGAGUAGGAGGCCAGAUGCCCACGGAAGCCAACAACGUCCAUUCAAGGGACGGCCACCUCCGAACGCCACCAAGUUGGCUGCGUGGUUUCUCAAGUAGCCGGGGCAACUCUCCUUCCAAGAAGUUCAUAUUGGCUUGUAAAGGGGUCUUCAAGACCACCCUUCCCCUUCCCCGCCCUCCUUGUUUACAGAGAGUUACCCAUCCACGCUGCAGCCCAUGGGGUCACAGAAGAGCCGGACACGACUUAGCGACUUAGCAACAACCACCACCCAUCCCCAGCUGGAUCCAUCUGUUCCAUCACCAGUUGUCACCAGGCUCCUGCCAUGUGCCAUGAACAGUCCAGGCAACGGUGACCUGAAGACCAGUCUUUGCUCAAGGAGCUCAUAACCACAUUGGUCAGCCAACGGUCAGGGAGUUUGUUGAUGCAAGAAGAAAAGUUACACUAACGUGGAGCUGAAGCUGUGGGUGUUCAAAAAAGGGAAGGACCAGCAAGAGGAGGAAAGGACCAAACCACAGAGAUCAUCACAGAACACCUCUGAGAGACCGAAGACCCAAGUUAUUCUCAUGAAAGAACUAGGAAAACAAACCCAGGGAACUGAGAGGAUUUAACCCAGGACUGACGACUCGGUGGAUGACUCUGGGGUCCUUGUGCCCAGCCCAGUCCAGCCCAGAACAGCCCUGGAAGAUAGUGGCUCAUCUGCUCCUAGAGGAAGGGAAAGAGGAGGGGGAUGGGAAGAGGAAGGUGGGGAGGGGACAAAAGAAAAGAGCUGGAAAGAUUUGAACUUCUGACCUUGGCUGGGGCAGAGCCAGGAUAACUGAGGACCCCAGCCUCGUCCCAGGUGGAGAGUGGCCUGGGGGCUCCAGGCAGCCACCACUGGAGGGAGGAACCGAAGAGGAGGAGGACAGAGCCGGCACCCCCUACUACUCACAGAAAGCACCUGGCAUCAGACUGAAAUGUUUCUUCCCCUUCGGGGUUCACAGUCCAGAAGAAAGACAAUUGCAUACCAUUCACACCUAUGUAAAUAAUGGGUUCAAGGCUGAUUCCUCUGCUGGUCACAUGCUGCUUCUGUAUGAGGCGGGCCGUCUCCUCCCAGGACUUGGAAAUUAUGGUUUGCAUCUUUGUGGGGUUGUUCCCUUCAUGGGGGCCUUUGUGCUCUCAGGACACACCAGGAACAGUUGUGGGUUUGCUUCAACUGACUGCCCAUAGGUUGCCCCAGUGUGAGAACAAUUUUUACAUUAAUUUGGGGGCUUGGGGAUUCCCACACCCUGAGAGAGAGUGAAAGUUCACACCCCACAUCUGGAAAUUUGAGUUUUUCACGGGAAACAUUUUUUUUUUUCCUUUUCCAGAGCCUACAGCAGACAAUGAUGGAUGGAGAUUUUUCCUAGCCAUCUCCCCCUGUCAGAGCCAGAAUUCCAGGUCCAGGGUCCUGCUUCAGACGGUCCUAGGCCUGUCCCCGUCCUCUUGGGUCAUGAGCUACUCCCCUGGCUUCGCAAACCCUCCUCCUGUUCACUGUGCUUUGGCUCCAGUUUGCAGACUUCCUAUUUUGGCUUUAAACUCCUUCCUUUUUCUGUCGCUUGAGGAUUUCUUUAUUUCAAGCUCAAUGUACAUGUUAAUUUUCAUGUUAUAUUUUAUUCAGAAUCUCCCUGUGUGAUGCAGCGGAGCAGUGGAGAUCCACACUGGCUCAUUCUGUGAGUUGCUAGACGCCUAAGGCACAAUUAUUUUUCCUUCUGUCUCUCCUAUGGGACUACAGACUCCUGGAAGAAAAAAACUGUGCCUGAAUUAUCUCCGGUCCUUCGCUCAGUUCUGGGGACAAACACAGUAUGAGAGUGACGUUUGCUGGACUGGACGGAUACUUAAAUGAUGGAAGGUGAUCAUCAAAGGUUAUGCAGGUCUUUUCACAUCUCCAGGAAGAGUUCUUCAAUCAUUCCAAACACACGGGUAUUAUUUUAUUCUGAAAAAUCUUUAUAGGUGAUUCUGUAGCAUAUGUUAUGAUUGUGACAUCGAUGUGCCUCAACACUCUUAACGUGGCCAUCAAGCAAGCAGCAUGCCGCAGGCCUUCAGAAGACGCAACACAAGGCCAGCACUGACCCGUGGCCCUCCAGCUGGAGGCCGUGGCAUGGAGGUGGUUUGCUGUGAUUUCACUCACAGAGAGCACUGUGUGUGUUUGGUGGAGAACGUUCAGCAGGCCUACCUGGGAGAGCAGCUCGGGCUACAGGGACUUGAGGGGAAGAGGCUGCCAAGGCAGCCGAGGCAGGAGACAGAAACACAGAAACAAAAUGAUGAGAAAUCCAUAAUCACCGCGUGAUAUUUAACCAAACUUUCCCAGAUAUGAACAGCUAAAUUUAAAAAAAAGUAAAAAUAUUGAUGUGUAAGUGGCACAAUAAAUAAAUUGUGUGAAUAUUCAAAACCUUAAAAGGGAUUCCCAGGCGGCUCAGUGGUCAAGAAUCCACCUGCAGUGCAGGAGAUGCAGGUUUGAUCCCUGGGCCUGGA